rnacentral:rRNA from 1 species
GAUGAACGCUAGCGGCAGGCCUAAUACAUGCAAGUCGAACGAGAUUGAGGAGCUUGCUCCUCAUGAAAGUGGCGCACGGGUGCGUAACGCGUAUGCAAUCUACCUUAAUCAGGGGGAUAGCCCGGAGAAAUCCGGAUUAAUACCGCAUAACGUUAUUUUAUGGCAUCAUAGAAUAACCAAACAUUUAUGGGAUUAAGAUGAGCAUGCGUGACAUUAGUUAGUUGGUGAGGUAACGGCUCACCAAGACUACGAUGUCUAGGGGAUCUGAGAGGAUGACCCCCCACACUGGUACUGAGACACGGACCAGACUCCUACGGGAGGCAGCAGUAAGGAAUAUUGGUCAAUGGGCGCAAGCCUGAACCAGCCAUGCCGCGUGCAGGAAGACGGCCCUAUGGGUUGUAAACUGCUUUUAUCCGGGAAUAAACCUCUUUACGUGUAAGGAGCUGAAUGUACCGAAGGAAUAAGGAUCGGCUAACUCCGUGCCAGC